CCUGGUCAGAAACUGACGCUGAGGUACGAAAGCGUGGGGAGCAAACAGGAUAUAAAUACCCUGGUAGUCCACGCCGUAAACGAUGUCAACUAGCCUGUUCGUUUCAUAAACGAAGUGAGUAACGCAGCUAACGCACUAAGUUGACCGCCUGGGGAGUACGGCCGCAAGGUUAAAACUCAAAUGAAUUGACGGGGGCCCGCACAAGCGGUGGAGCAUGUGGUUUAAUUCGAUGCAACGCGAAGAACCUUACCAUCCCUUGACAUCCAGUGAAUUUUCUAGAGAUAGAUGAGUGCCUUCGGGAACACUGAGACAGGUGCUGCAUGGCUGUCGUCAGCUCGUGUUGUGAGAUGUUGGGUUAAGUCCCGCAACGAGCGCAACCCUUAUCCUUAGUUGCCAGCGCGUAAUGGUGGGAACUCUGGGGAGACUGCCGGUGAUAAACCGGAGGAAGGUGGGGACGACGUCAAGUCAUCAUGGCCCUUACGGGAUGGGCUACACACGUGCUACAAUGGCGCGUACAAUGGGAAGCUAACUCGCGAGAGUGUGCGGAUCUCAAAAAGCGCGUCGUAGUCCGGAUUGGAGUCUGCAACUCGACUCCAUGAAGUCGGAAUCGCUAGUAAUCGUGGAUCAGAGUGCCACGGUGAAUACGUUCCCGGGCCUUGUACACACCGCCCGUCACACCAUGGGAGUGGGCUGCACCAGAAGUAGAUAGCUUAACCUUCGGGAGGGCGUUUACCACGGUGUGGUUCAUGACUGGGGUGAAGUCGUAACAAGGUAACC
rnacentral:rRNA from 1 species